rnacentral:rRNA from 1 species
CUUCUUGAAUUUAUUGGAAGUCGGGCCUGUCCACUGAUAAAGAAUUGAAGGGCCGCGGUAUUUUGACCGUGCAAAGGUAGCAUAAUCAUUAGUCUUUUAAUUGAAGGCUGGAAUGAAUGGUUUGACGAAAUAAUAUCUGUCUCUAAUAUGAUUUGAUUGAAAUUCACUUUUAAGUUAAAAGGCUUAAAUGUUUAUAAGGGACGAGAAGACCCUAUAGAUCUUUAUAUUAUAAUUUAUAAUAUUGAUUUUAGGUAUUAAAAUUUAUUUAUAUAUGUAUUAUAUUUUAUUGGGGUGAUACGGGAAUAUUAUAACUUCUUUAAUUUUAACUUUGAUGAAAGGGUAAUUAAUCCUUUAAUAUGGAAUGGAGAUUAAGAUACCUUAGGGAUAACAGCGUAAUUUUAUUGGAGAGUUCUUAUUGAUAAUAAUGAUUGCGACCUCGAUGUUGGAUUAAGAAUAUAACUAUAAAUUGGUGUAGGUGCUGAGAAGUGUUGGUCUGUUC